GUCUACGGCCAUACCACCCUGAACGCGCCCGAUCUCGUCUGAUCUCGGAAGCAAAAAUGGCCCCUGAGCUGGCAUGCUGACACAAUGCCUAUGACCCAGCACUUUGGAAG
rnacentral:rRNA from 14 species